GAGCAGGUUUGAAGCAGUUCACCGAAACAGAAAAAGCUCUGGAGAAUGUGAUUAAGGACUGGCUGAGGCCGUCAAAGAACCGUCUGCUCAGCAAGCAGAAGUCAAGGAAAAACCGAGGCGAGGAAGAGCCUCAAAUCCCUGUUAGGGAGGAGGGUGAUGAAGACAGUAACAAUUAAGGAUCUCAACUACUGUGUUAUUUCAUCAUUAUUUCAAUUAUUUUAAUAUACUUUUUUCAAACAUGAA